GACAGAGGGGGCAAGCGUUGCUCGGAAUCACUGGGCGUAAAGGGCGCGUAGGCGGGAUGGCAAGUCGGUCGUGAAAUCCUUCGGCUCAACCGAAGAACGUCGGCCGAUACUGCCGUUCUUGAGGGAUGCAGAGGAGAUUGGAAUUCCCGGUGUAGCGGUGAAAUGUGUAGAGAUCGGGAGGAACACCGGUGGCGAAGGCGGGUCUCUGGGCAUCUCCUGACGCUGAGGCGCGAAAGCGUGGGAGCAACGGG
rnacentral:rRNA from 1 species